GUGGGGGGGAUCUCCUGAAAAAUCUCUCAAGCCUCUGACUAUCUCCCAGAAUUCUCUCUCUUUCUGCCAGUGUCCCACUUCCUAUUUCCUGCCUCAGCCCAUUGGCCAUAGUCAUUUUUGUUGACAGGUGAUGCUUAUAAGAGAUUCUCUCUACAGCUCAAAUAGGUGCUGGGUACUGAACUCAGUCCUCUGGAAGAGUGCCGGAUGUCCCAGGUAUUAUGCUAAGUGCUAUCCAUUUAUUUACUUGUUCAGUCCUUGUACUAAUCUAUAUAGGGGUUUGCCAAGGCUACCCUCAAAUUCAGAGAUUCCCAAAGAGAAUUUAUGGGAUUUGUCAGGUCGUUGAUUAUUUCAAAUGUGUAGCAAAGACACAUGCCCAGAUAGUAAGGGGAGAAGACACUGACAGAGCCCAUGGGAAUCCAAGUACAGUUGUUUAACACUUUCUCCCUCCAUGACGGAUCACAAGGGACUCACUCUUCCAGUGAUGGAAUGCAGCAACAUGUCUGCUACUUGCAUUUACAUCUCGGAAAGCUCCUGCGAGCGACAGUGCCUAUGGUCCCUCAGGGACUUCUUACACACACACCCUCUGCUUAUCACACACCCCAAUUCCAGGCUCCCGGAGGGCAGCAUGAUUAGACAUAUUACAUUGUGUAACACAUGUAGGCAUAAAGUAAUGCCAGCGUUCCCUAAAUGUUUACUGAGGACACAGAGCAAAGUUCCAGAAGCCAGUCAACAACCUGGUUUGAAAGUAGACCUUUGUAGGUCUCCAGACCUGCUGUAAUACGCUUUUACGUGGUGACCGUCCCCAUGUGCAGAUCCUCCAUUCUGAGUGAUCUGUUGGCUGCCGAGCCUGGGUUCUUCUCCACCCAUCAGGUUCUGUCUACCUGUUCGUCAUCAACCCUUUGCCUUAGCCCUUUCUGUCUGGAAUGUUAUUCUGCCUCCUUGUAUGACCAGUUCUUUCUUAGCGUUCACGAUCCGGCUGACAUUUGCAAUCUGCCCUGUCAAGAAGGUCCUCCCCACUAGGCUCUGGGGCGUUUCUCCCCCUGAAGGUACUCAAUGCAUAUUGCUCUGCCUUGGUCUCUCUAAUGAGAAAUCAGUCUGCAUCUUCGUUUCUGCCAGCCCCUCCCCCUUGCCAAUAAUUGGCAAUCCGGAGAGAAAGCCCUGAGCUGUGUUUGUUAAUCUCUGAUGAAACUCCACCAUUCCUGCUGAAGGAUGAUUUGAUAGCUGUGUGUGUUGUCAGCGAGACACCAGGAGCGGCUGCCAAACCCUUCCCCCACCUACCCUCUUUCCCAGAUUCACUGUUCUUCAGGUUCCUCUCAGAAAAGAAAAGGUUUCCCCGUGAUAUCGACUGGAUAUGGCAUAACAAGAUGCCCUAAGACCAGGCACAAACCCUCGUGUCAAGGCCGAACAAGGCAACGUGGUAGGAGGAAAAGGCUCCCACAAGCAGGGGAGUUUUUGUUUUUUGAGGCAGGGUCUCACUAUGCAGCCCUGGCUGGCUUGGAACCCACAGAGACCUGCCUGCCUCUGGCUCCUGAGUGCUGGGAUUAGAGGCCUGCUGACCCCACCUGGCCAGAAUAAGUUCCGUAAAGAAAGCACUAGUUUUUAGGACCGUAUCCUCGAACACACGAUAGGGCACAGAGCAAGUGCUCUGUAAGCAUUGGUCGGGGAGAGUAUCAUCAUCCCACACCAUCUCCGGCUACUGCUUCAGACAUUCACAUUUUACAGAUCAGAACAGUGGGCACAGGAAUGAGGGCUGCUCCUUGAGGCACAGACAGAAGCAAGAGAGUUGCUGUUAAUGAGGAACAGAGGAGAAACCAAACUAGAAGAUAAUUCACAGCCGAGCCUGGUGGAGCGCGCACCUUUAACCCCAGCAUUCAGGAUUUAAAAAACAAAAAAAUCUUUCUUCAAAGAAUGACUGACAACCGACUAAGGAAAGUAUUUAAGUAGUUCAUUAAGUAGACUCUACAAAGCAGUGUGAACUGGAGCGGUGUGAACUGGAGCGGUGUGAACUGGAGCGGUGUGAACUGGAGCGGUGUGAACUGAAGCGGUGUGAACUGGAGCGGUGUGAACUGGAGCGGUGUGAACUGGAGCGGUGUGAACUGGAGCGGUGUGAACUGGAGCGGUGUGAACUGAAUGCUGGACUCUGGGCAAUGUUGUACUUCAGUGGCCCAAAAGGAGUAAGUUUGGUCACAGAGCUGCUUUGCAGCCUUGGUUGGAGAAAUUUCUUUUUGAAAGCAGGCACAGUUGACGCCUAACUGAUCAAAGUACAGGGGUCACAUCAACGCUGAGCCUCAACUUGAAGGGUCAGCGUCCACCUCCGCCUGAAGGCUCGGGGAACAUCCACGGAAGAGGAGCAGAAGGGACGCGAAAGCCAGAGGGUGGGGAGGGCUGCGAGAUGCUGUCUUCUGGAUGACACAGCCAUUGCAUCCAGGAAGUCACAGAAGCUGUGCGCAUCUGCCCAAGGUCAAGGUGUCAAUAUGUCCACGUGGAUGGGGGGGGGUGCUCGAUCAUGAGACAGCGUCCUAGCUGAGGAGCUGUGAGCGCUUGAUGACUUCAGCUGAGAGGAAUCACUUUUCCCUGGGCUUGUAGCUGCUGAUAGGUUGCCCAGGCCCCUGAGGAUGGCACUACAGCUGUGUACACACAGGCUGGUUGGACUCAGUGGGUCAGCAGGACGGGCCAGCCAGAUGAUCAGCAAGUAAAGGUGCUACUACCAAGCUUGAAGGGGCGAGUUCAGUCCCCAUGAGGAGAAAACUAAUUUCUGAACGUUGUUCUCUGGCCUCCAAACACACACUGUUGUGACACCUGUUCCUCCCACCCUGGAAUGAAUAAAUAAAUGUUAGAAAGAG
rnacentral:sRNA from 1 species